UGACCUCGGAUCAGGUAGGGAUACCCGCUGAACUUAAGCAUAUCAAUAAGCGGAGGAAAAGAAACCAACAGGGAUUGCCCUAGUAACGGCGAGUGAAGCGGCAACAGCUCAAAUUUGAAAUCUGGCGCAAGCCGAGUUGUAAUUUGUAGAGGAUGCUUCUGGGCAGCGGCCGGUCUAAGUUCCUUGGAACAGGACGUCAUAGAGGGUGAGAAUCCCGUAUGCGACCGGCUUGCACCCGUCACGUAGCUCCUUCGACGAGUCGAGUUGUUUGGGAAUGCAGCUCUAAAUGGGAGGUAAAUUU
rnacentral:ncRNA from 1 species